ACCCCAGAAUGAAGCGGGAUCACCCCGAGUUUAAGUAUAUCAAUAGCGGAGGAGGAAAAAGAAACUAACAAGAGAUUCCGCAGUAACGGCGAACAAGCAGGAGAAGAAACUGACUUGAAAAUCAGACAUCUUUGGCGUUCGAAUUGUAGUGCGGGAAGCGUCCUCAACGAUGGACCCAUUUGAAAUUCCCUGGAAGAAUUGCCAGAGAAGGGGAGAGGCCGUCGUGCCCGGACCCUAUGCUUUUCUGAGAACUCUGUCUCUGGUCGGGUUGUUUGGAUGCAACUAAUGAGGCGAUAGAAUUCGAUAAAGACUAAAUAUGGGUGAGAGGCCGAUGGCCGAACAAGUACAUGGUAAAGAUGAAAAGGACUUUGAAAAAAGUCAAGUGCUUGAAAUUGUCGGGAGGAAGCGGAUGGGGGCCAGUGAUUCAUCGUGGGAUCGGAGCGGGCAAUCGAUUACUGCUGAUCGAUUGAACCCGUGGACGGCCGGAUAAAGUGGUAACCUAAGCCUGGGCUUUGUUCACGCUUCGCGGAAGGCGUUGCUGCAUGUCAUGGUCUGCACCACGUGCCUCCCGGCGUCUGCGGCAUCUCCAUGCUCGGGGGGCGCGUCGGCCUGUGGGCUCCCCCACCGACCUAUCUUGGAAACAUGGACCAGGGGGUCUGACAUGUGUGUGGAUGCUUGGUGGGGGGGAAGUAAACUCAUGAAGCCUUGAAGCCUGAUUGGCUGGAUUAAGCCGGUACCUGACCCGACCGACCUUCUUCUUCUCAGAAGGGUUCGAGUGUGAGCCUGCUUGGCCGGGACCGAAAGAUGGUGAACUAUGCUGGCGUGUGGCCGGGAACUCUGGUGGAGGCCAUGGCGUACUGACGUGCAAAUCGUUAAAUGGACUUGGGUAUAGGGGAAAAGACUUGUCGAACCAUCGUAUGGUUCCCUCCGAAGUUUCAGGGAUAGUUGGGCUGGAAAUGAGUUUAUGUCGGGGUAAAACCAAUGAUUAGAGGCAUCGAGGGGCCUUAAUGUCCUCAACUAUUCUCAAACUUUUAAUGGGUAGGGGCGGGUGACUUCUUUGUUGAGCCAUCCCCCGCAAUCGAGAGCUCAAGUGGGCCAUUUUUUGGUAGCGAGGAGGCGAUGCGGGAUGACCAGAAGCGAGAUUCACGAUUGCCCACUGAACUAACCUAGAACCAUGGGGUGUUGGUGGAUUAAAACGCGGGGCGGUGGUCAUGGAGGUGAAAUCGCUAUGGAGUAACAACUCUCCCCGAAAGAAUCAAUGGUGAAAAAAUGGUGCUAAAGCGACCUAUACGACGUGCAGGAUGAGAGCCAGGCCUCGACAGUAGGAGGGUGCGGCGGUCGAUGCAAAACCCUAGGGCUCUAGCCGGGCCCGGAGGCCGAUGGUGCAGAUCUUGGUGGUAGUAGCAAAUAUUCAAAUGAGAACUUUGAAGGCCCGAAGGGGAAAGGUUCCAUGACGCGAAACUUGCACAUGGGUUAGUGAUCCCUAAGAGUCGAGGGGAAACCGUCGAUAAGCGCUUAUGCGAACUUGAAAGGGAUCGGUUAAAAUUCUGGAACAGGGGCGUGGCGGUUGGCGACAACGUUUGGAAGUUGGAGAUGUCGGCGAAAUUCGGAAAAGUUAUAUUUUCUGUUUAACAGCGGCCACCACAAAUGGCUCGGCGGGAGAAUGCGGUCCAGGAGCUGGAAGAGCACCGCCGUCGUGGUGGUGUCGCUGCAUUCGGCUGACCCCUUGAAAAUCCGGAGGGACGAGUGCCAGCUCGCCCGUCGUACUCAUAACCGCAUCAGGUCUCCAAGGUGAACAGUCUACGGUGAUGGAACAAUGUAAGCAAGGAAGUCGGCAAAAAUGGAUCCGUAACUUUGGGAAAAGGAUUAGCUCGAGGACUAGGCUCGGGGUACCAGUUGCUAACCCGUCGACUGUUGGCGGGCUGCUUGAGCUGCUAGUGCGGUGAGAGCAGACCACCUGCGUGUCGGCGGGGGGGGACGGACUAGGAAAAGGCUCUUGGGAUCUUUCCCUGGCGUCGAACAGCCAACUCAAAGAACUGGUGCGGACAAGGGGAAUCCAAAGUUUUUAAUUAAAACAAAGCAUUGCAAUGGUCCCUGCGGAUGCUAUGACUCUCUUAAGGUAGCCAAAAAGCCUCAUCAUCUAAUUGGUGAAGCAUGAAUGAAUUCGCGAGAUUCCCACUGUCCAUCUGCUACUAUCCAUGAAACCCAGCCCGAGGGCGGGCUUGGCGAGAAUCAAUGAGGGAAAAGACCCUGUUGAGCUUGACUCUAGUCUGACUUUGUGAAAUGACUUGAGAGGUGUAGAAUAUAUGGGAACUCCGGUUGCAAGUGAAAUAUUACUACUUUUAACGUUAUUUUACUUUCUCGUGAAUGAUGGAGGCGGGGUAACAACCCUUCUUUUAGACCCUUCGGCUUAGUCGAGGUCAAUCGGGGAGGAGGACAUCGCCAGGUGGGGGAGUUUGGCUGGGGUGGCACAACUGUAAAAGAUAGCGCAUGUGUCCCUAAAACCGAGCUCAGCGAGAACAAAAUCUGUUAUGUGGAACAAAAGGGUAAAGCUUGUUUGAUUCUGAUUUUCAAUGCGAAUCGAACCACGAGCGGCGUGCCCUAUCGAUCCUUUAGACGCCGAAUUUGUGGCAGCCAAGUGUUCAUAGCGAUGUUGCUUUAUGAUCCGCCGAUGUUGGCUCUUCCUAUCAUUGUGAAGCAGAAUUCACCAAGUGUUGGAUUGUUCACCCACCAAUAGGGAACGUGAUCUGGGUUUAGACAGUAGGUGAGACAGGUUAGUUUUACCCCUACGAUGCGAAAAUAGUAAUUCAACCUAGUACAAGAGGAACCGUUGAUUCGCACAAUUGGUCAUCGGCUUGUUUGAAAAGCAAGCCAAUGAAGCUUCUGGUCGCUGGAUUAUGACUGAAUGCCUCUAAGUCAGAAUCUGGGCUGAAACAACGCAUGCACCCGACACCCGAUUGCGACCCUCGUGGGACCUUCAGCUCCAAAGACGCGUUAAUGGUUGGCUAAAAUCCGUUCGGUAAGCACCGUUCGGACCGCCUUGAAUUAUAAUUACCGGUGGGUAGAAUCUUUGCAGAUGACUUAAAUGCGAUGGAGUAUUGUAAGUGACAGAGUGGCCUUGCUGCCCACGAUCCACUGAAUUCAGCUCUUUGUCACUAAGAUUGAUCCUCCCCUUUC
rnacentral:rRNA from 1 species